rnacentral:rRNA from 1 species
UGGGGAAUAUUGGACAAUGGGCGCAAGCCUGAUCCAGCCAUGCCGCGUGAGUGAUGAAGGCCCUAGGGUUGUAAAGCUCUUUCACCGGUGAAGAUAAUGACGGUAACCGGAGAAGAAGCCCCGGCUAACUUCGUGCCAGCAGUCGCGGUAAUACGAAGGGGGCUAGCGUUGUUCGGAUUUACUGGGCGUAAAGCGCACGUAGGCGGACUAUUAAGUCAGGGGUGAAAUCCAGGGGCUCAACCCCGGAACUGCCUUUGAUACUGGUAGUCUUGAGUUCGAGAGAGGUGAGUGGAAUUCCGAGUGUAGAGGUGAAAUUCGUAGAUAUUCGGAGGAACACCAGUGGCGAAGGCGGCUCACUGGCUCGAUACUGACGCUGAGGUGCGAAAGCGUGGGGAGCAAACAGG